GCUGCAGCAAGCCGAGCGAGAGCAGAGGGCGAGCGGGCAGCAGCGCCGGGAUGAUCCGCGUCUGAGAUCCAGACAUACGGGAUGAUGGCAGGACGGACACACAGCGGCCACGACUUCUGUAAGAAAAGAACAACUCAUUACCAGUCAUGACCAGGAGAUCCAGAAGAGUGCGCUGGAGUCAAAGAAUCAACAGACAUAAGAAACUAGGUCUGUUCUCUGUAGGAGGAGUUGGCUCAUGUCUAGUCCAAGGCUGAGAAGGCAAUGAGGGGGAGACCUCUCAGCCCAGCUGACGAAGAACUACAGAACGGAAAAAAAUUACUUUUAAUG